CGCAGAGGGAGGGGCUUGCCCCGAGGAGCAGCGACCCGACGAGUCCGUCAGUUGGGACCCUGGUCGGCGCCGACGGAUCCCUCCAUCAUUGUCGCGGUAUGAGGAGCGGGUCUGGCCAGAGGGAAGGAAGCACGGUCACGAGGGGAGGAGGAUGGUAGCGCGACGACGGCUGCAGGGCCCGCUGGGUAGCGGCGGCUAGGGUUCGUGUGAGGGGAUCGGGGAAGAGAUGAGAGUGAGUGGGUGCGGCUAGGGUGGGGGCGCGAGUGCGGGC
rnacentral:lncRNA from 1 species